rnacentral:rRNA from 1 species
GAUGAACGCUAGCGGCAGGCCUAAUACAUGUAAGUCGAACGGUGUCUUCGGACAUAGUGGCGCACGGGUGCGUAACACGUAUGCAACCUACCUUACAUUGGGGGAUAGCCUUUCGAAAGGGAGAUUAAUACCGCAUAAGACAGUAGCUGGGCAUCCAGCAGCUGUUAAAGAUUUAUCGAUGUAAGCUGGGCAUGCGUCCAAUUAGCUAGUUGGUGAGGUAACGGCUCACCAAGGCAAUGAUUGGUAGGGGAACUGAGAGGUCAAUCCCCCACACUGGCACUGAGAUACGGCCCAGACUCCUACGGGAGGCAGCAGUGGGGAAUUUUGGACAAUGGGCGCAAGCCUGAUCCAGCCAUGCCGCGUGCAGGAUGAAGGCCUUCGGGUUGUAAACUGCUUUUGUACGGAACGAAAAGACUCCUUCUAAUAAAGGGGGUCCAUGACGGUACCGUAAGAAUAAGCACCGGCUAACUACGUGCCAGCAGCCGCGGUAAAAC